UCGGUCUUCCACAGAAGCAGAGUAUCGCUCAGUAGCAGCCACAACGUCUGAGGUUUCAUGGCUUCAAAGUUUGCUUCAAGAACUCCAGCCUACAGUUAUUUAUAAGCCAUUAAUCUUGUGUGAUAAUAUUGGGGCUACAUACUUCUGUGCCAAUCCUGUUUUCCAUUCUCGCAUGAAGCAUUUAUCUCUUGAUUAUCAUUUUGUCCGUGAGAAGGUAACUUCUGGUCAACUUAUUGUUCAACAUAUCUCCAGUCAGGAUCAGCUUGCUGAUUUGCUUACUAAGCCGCAGUCCAAAGUUCGAUUACGUGUUUUUCGACCCAAGAUUGGCAUCUCUGAUGUAAGCUCAAUCUUGCGGGGGUGUAUUGAGGAUAACUCUCUUGUAUCAAGUCAAACUAGUUAGUUUCUGAUAUUUGAUUUUGUUUAACUAUAAAUAGUUUAGAUAUGAUUUGGAGAUUUUCUAUAUUUCAAAUGUAAUCUGCAAACUCUAUAAAUAUGUAUCUUGCUUCCUUGAAUAAUACAAUAAACAUUUACACAAGCAAUCUGAUCCUUUCAAUGGCCUUCUCACUCUUUUCUGGACUGAUACCUGGGUAGGGGAUUGCCCUUUGAUCAUGUUGGCAAGAUUAGAGGUUCCUUCGAACCACAUUCAUCUCCCUGUAGCCUUUUAUAAGGGGUCUAAUGGUUGGAAUUGGGAUCUUCUCCGUAUCUGGCUUCCGGAGUAUGCUUGCCUGCUGCUUGAACCAAUCUUUCUUAGUGAAGAUGCUCUUGAUUUAGAUGGUCUCGUUUGGAGGAUCUGGAAGAUUCAACUUCCUCAAUGCCUGAGAUGCUUCAUUUGGAUUAUUCAUCACCAACGGCUUAUGACCAAUGUGGAAAGAUACAAGCGGGGUUUUUGCUCUAAUCCCAGCUGCACUCUAUGUGGAGCCACUGCUGAGUCCCUUCUUCAUGUGUUGCGGGACUGUCCCUUGGCGAAGUACGUUUAGGAGAGUAUAUGGGAUUCUGCUUCUCUAUUUAAGUUUUCUUAUCUGCAAGUUCACGAAUGGUUGGAUCAAGCUUUGUCUUUUUUAAGCCCUUCCUUCUCUUCCUUUCACCCUGUUCAUAUUUUAUGUUUUGGGUUAUGGUAGAUCUGGAAAUGGCGAAAUGCAUUAAAUUUUCGAUAUGACUCUCUAUAGUUAUUCUCCAAGCUUAGUACUCUACGUUCCCAGCUGAAGGCUAACGCCUCUGCAUGGAAUGGUCUGUCUACCGUGUCCCCCCGCCUGAGUAGAUCAAUCUUUGGAGUUUCUCGGCAGCCUCCUCCUGUGGGAUGGAUAAAAUGGUGCUGCUAGGGGAAAUCCUGGUCGAGGUGGUUGUGGUGGCGUUCUUAGGGACAGUUGUAGUCAGUGGUGUGGUGGGUUCAUGAUGAGAUUGGGUUCGUGCUCCACGGAAGCUGAAUUGCAUGCUGUGUCGAAUGGUCUUCAAAUGGCCGUGAAUUUGCGUUAUAUGCAGGUCAUUGCUGAAAUGGAUUCUAUGACCUCUAAGUAUCUGCUGGAAGAGGGCAAUUCCCAAAAUAUCAGGCUGGGGAGACUGAUCUCCCAAUGUCAUGCCCUUAUGGGCAGAGACUGGUCGACGGUCCGCUUGCAGCAUUGUUUCUGAGAAGCCAACCAAGUGGCAGAUAACUGGCCAAUCUCGUUGUUGUGGGUGAGCCUGGCAAGAGGAUUCUUGUUUAGUCCUCUGAUCAGGUCCUCCAAUUCCUUAGCUUGGACUUGUACGGUGUUCACUGGCCUCGUUUAGGCCCUCGAUCAGCUUAGUUUCGUCUUUCUAGGAUG